CUUUGCAUCUCAAAGUGCCCUCGGUUCAAGGUUCACAUCUUAAACGCUUGGUUUGCAGUGGAAUAAUCUUCAGAAGUGGGGCUUUGCGAAAAUGAUGGGAUCCGGAUCAUAGGGCUCUGACUUCAUCAGCGAAUCAAUCUGCUGAAACAAAAUUGGCUCGUCCUCUAUGGUUUGAGAGCCUUAUGGUGACCAUACCAACUAGACAGAGACGGAGCAACAUGGUCCUGUUUUACCGAGAGGAGAAAUCUCUACUGGAAUACUCAGACCUCUUUUCCCUGUCAGCUUAAUGCUCAGUCUGCCCUCCGGACACCUCAGAACUGAGGCAUGUGUGGACUUCCAAAGACUGUGGUAGCACAAGACCCAUACAAGUUCACGUCAGAUGGGGUCCCAGCACUGAGAGGAGGAAGUGAACAAAGUAGCCAUCUGCAAUUGAUACCUCCUUGCAAAAGAAAAAUUAGUUUUCUCCAAUGGAAUUUUAUUGGUUAUAUCAACCACACUUCAGGGUAGGCCCCAGGUCUAGAAUUAGUCAACACAAAACAAGCUAAAUGGUAUUUUUGUAGACUUUUGCCCUGACUUCAGUGACCUUCUUCCAGAUACUAGCCCCCGCUUCUAUGUUCCCACAAAUAGUGUCAGAGACCAAACAUUCAAAAUGUGAGACUGUAGGGAAAGUUCAUAUUCAAAUCACACCCCCUACACACACACAUACACACACACACACACAUACACACACUCAAGCACACAUGCAUGCAAGCAUACUUAUACACACACACACACUUAAGCACACAUGCAUGCAAGCAUACUUAUACACACACACAAACACAACACUUUGAAAUCUAGAUAUUGUUAGCAAUCAUUGAAAUAGGCAGAACAGAAAAUACUUAUAAGGAGACAUAUAUUACCUACAGGCCAAUGAGAGAAUGAUGGAUUAGUCAAUACUACAUCGGGAUAACUGACUAGUCACCUAAGAGAAAAAACUCAUAAAGGGCUCUGCCUCACAACACAUUCAAGAUAAGUUACAGAAGGAUUGAAUACCCAGCUAAAAUGAAAACAUCACGAGAGAAUUUAAGAAAACAUCUGUUCAAGUUUGAGGUAGAGGGGAGGGGUGCUUUCCAGUAUCUAAGUCAAGCAAUGCUUUAUUUUUUCAUUUAAAAGUUGAGAGAUUUGAAUAUAUAAAGAUACGCAGGUGCUGAAUAAACAAGUGUUACAGUGAGGUAAAAAUACUCACAUGAAACAUAGUCUGAUGAAUUUGGAAUGUGAAAAAUUUAAAGACAAAGGCCUACAAAAAUAAAACAAGCCAAAUCAUUCAUUAGUCAAACAUAUUUUGCAUAGAUGUUGCCUCUGAAUGUAGAACCAACUCAUUCCUAUAUACAAUUGAACUCUGAUUUUAUAAAACUAUUACACAUACACACACACUGAGAGAGAGAGAGAAAGAGAGAGAGAGAGAGAGAGAGAGAGAGAGAGAGAGGCAGGCAGGCAGAUACACACACACAGAUACGUAUAUACACAUAAUCUAUAGCACAUGGCUCAAAUAUAAAUGUUUCUUUCCCUUUAACUGAGUAUGCACGGUGCCCUUAUGAAGCCUCACAGACUGUGACAAAAGUAAUUCAAGCUCCCAGAAGUUGAUAUAGAAAGGUUUCCUACAAAAAAAACCCAAAAAACCAAACCAAACCAAAAAAAACUAUCCUGAUUUUUUUUUUUUUUGUCAUAAACAACUUGGUAGGAAUGAAACUAGAAUACCAUUUU